rnacentral:rRNA from 1 species
ACGCUUGCUACAGGCUUAACACAUGCAAGUCGAGGGGCAUCAGGAAGAAAGCUUGCUUUCUUUGCUGGCGACCGGCGCACGGGUGAGUAACACGUAUCCAACCUGCCCUUUACUCGGGGAUAGCCUUUCGAAAGAAAGAUUAAUACCCGAUGGCAUAAUGAUUCCGCAUGGUUUCAUUAUUAAAGGAUUCCGGUAAAGGAUGGGGAUGCGUUCCAUUAGGUUGUUGGUGAGGUAACGGCCCACCAAGCCUUCGAUGGAUAGGGGUUCUGAGAGGAAGGUCCCCCACAUUGGAACUGAGACACGGUCCAAACUCCUACGGGAGGCAGCAGUGAGGAAUAUUGGUCAAUGGGCGGUAGCCUGAACCAGCCAAGUAGCGUGAAGGAUGAAGGCUCUAUGGGUCGUAAACUUCUUUUAUAUAAGAAUAAAGUGCAGUAUGUAUACUGUUUUGUAUGUAUUAUAUGAAUAAGGAUCGGCUAACUCCGUGCCAGCAGCCGCGGUAAUACGGAGGAUCCGAGCGUUAUCCGGAUUUAUUGGGUUUAAAGGGAGCGUAGGUGGACUGGUAAGUCAGUUGUGAAAGUUUGCGGCUCAACCGUAAAAUUGCAGUUGAUACUGUCAGUCUUGAGUACAGUAGAGGUGGGCGGAAUUCGUGGUGUAGCGGUGAAAUGCUUAGAUAUCACGAAGAACUCCGAUUGCGAAGGCAGCUCACUGGACUGCAACUGACACUGAUGCUCGAAAGUGUGGGUAUCAAACAGGAUUAGAUACCCUGGUAGUCCACACAGUAAACGAUGAAUACUCGCUGUUUGCGAUAUACAGUAAGCGGCCAAGCGAAAGCAUUAAGUAUUCCACCUGGGGAGUACGCCGGCAACGGUGAAACUCAAAGGAAUUGACGGGGGCCCGCACAAGCGGAGGAACAUGUGGUUUAAUUCGAUGAUACGCGAGGAACCUUACCCGGGCUUAAAUUGCAGUGGAAUGAUGUGGAAACAUGUCAGUGAGCAAUCACCGCUGUGAAGGUGCUGCAUGGUUGUCGUCAGCUCGUGCCGUGAGGUGUCGGCUUAAGUGCCAUAACGAGCGCAACCCUUAUCUUCAGUUACUAACAGGUCAUGCUGAGGACUCUGGAGAGACUGCCGUCGUAAGAUGUGAGGAAGGUGGGGAUGACGUCAAAUCAGCACGGCCCUUACGUCCGGGGCUACACACGUGUUACAAUGGGGGGUACAGAAGGCAGCUAGCGGGUGACCGUAUGCUAAUCCCAAAAGCCUCUCUCAGUUCGGAUCGAAGUCUGCAACCCGACUUCGUGAAGCUGGAUUCGCUAGUAAUCGCGCAUCAGCCACGGCGCGGUGAAUACGUUCCCGGGCCUUGUACACACCGCCCGUCAAGCCAUGGGAGCCGGGGGUACCUGAAGUACGUAACCGCAAGGAUCGUCCUAGGGUAAAACUGGUGACUGGGGC